rnacentral:rRNA from 1 species
AGUAACACGUGGGGAACCUGCCCCUAAGUCUGGGAUACCAUUUGGAAACAGGUGCUAAUACCGGAUAAUAAAGCAGAUCGCAUGAUCAGCUUUUGAAAGGCGGCGUAAGCUGUCGCUAAGGGAUGGCCCCGCGGUGCAUUAGCUAGUUGGUAAGGUAACGGCUUACCAAGGCGACGAUGCAUAGCCGAGUUGAGAGACUGAUCGGCCACAUUGGGACUGAGACACGGCCCAAACUCCUACGGGAGGCAGCAGAC